UGGGUGAACUGGGCAGAUAUCCUCUAUUUUUGGAGGUUUUGUUAAAUAUGUUUAAAUAUUAUAUACGUUUAAAAAAAUCUGAUGACUUAUUAUUAAAAGAGGCUUUCAACCUCUCAAAAUCUCUACAUGAUGAGCAGAAAAAGAGCUGGUAUACCAGUAUUCAAACUUUAUUUAAAUACUUUAGCAUCAAUGAAAAUUAUGCACUUAAUUUAAAGACGAAGUUAAAAAACUAUUUAUGCAAAAAGAUGCAAUCAAAAUAUGAUUUAAUAUGGCAAACUGAGCUUAAUAAUGAUUUCAGAGGC
rnacentral:lncRNA from 1 species